rnacentral:lncRNA from 1 species
AUGGGCCCUUCUAUCACUCAACUUAAGCCACAAGAUCUUCAUGUGGAGAUUGGGGAGGGAAUAGAAAGUUAUGUCAAUGCAGUCAGUCCACAGGUAAUCAACGCUAUAGCAUUUGUGAUGGACUAUGUUGAGUCAUUGCAUACGCAUGACAAUUCUUCAAUCUCCAAAGUUAUCCCUGAAAGACUGACGUUGACAAGAGCAACAGGAAGGUCUCAUCUAAGGAUGUGUCAAGCGGAGAGAUUCUGCAAAUUAGGCACAAUCUUCUCCCCAGAUUAUGUUUUGGAUACCUUCCGAGCACUGGAGGCCUUUUCAGCAUCUGAGCUCAUGAUGGCAACUUUUAUUUGGAGCAGAGGAAGAACAAGUCCUGGUUGGGACAUGGUCUCCUUUGCAAAGCUAUGGAGUAUACACCUGCACUCAUGCCCAAGGCUCAUGUUUGUGCUUCCAUUAUCGUGGCCUGCUCCAGACUCGCACUUGCCUGCCUUAGAGAUCCUUGACAUCAUCUGUUGUAGUGAAUUCAGACAGAUCUUCCCUGUGGAGCCAGUUGCUUUGACCAUAAAUAUCUAACAAAUAUCCA